AACGAACGCUGGCGGCAGGCUUAACACAUGCAAGUCGAACGAACAUAGCAAUAUGUUAGUGGCAGACGGGUGAGUAACGCGUGGGAAUGUGCCCUAUGGUUUGGAAUAACUCUGGGAAACUUGAGCUAAUACCGGAUAAUCCCGAGAGGGGAAAGAUUUAUCGCCAUUGGAGCAGCCCGCGUCUGAUUAGCUAGUUGGUGAGGUAAAGGCUCACCAAGGCGACGAUCAGUAGCUGGUCUGAGAGGAUGAUCAGCCACACUGGGACUGAGACACGGCCCAGACUCCUACGGGAGGCAGCAGUGGGGAAUAUUGGACAAUGGGGGCAACCCUGAUCCAGCCAUGCCGCGUGAGUGAUGAAGGCCUUAGGGUUGUAAAACUCUUUUAUCCGGGAAGAUAAUGACUGUACCGGAAGAAUAAGCCCCGGCUAACUUCGUGCCAGCAGCCGCCGUAA
rnacentral:rRNA from 1 species